CACUGGAUCUUCUACAGCAGUGUGAGCUGUUUCUAGAUCAUCGCCGGGGCUCUCGUCCACUUCCUCGAUUCGGCGCGAUGUUAUAUCCGAGACUUGAGGAAUCAUUGAAAGUGAAUCUCUGUUCGAAGGUGGGCCUCAAACUUGACGUCCCAAAAGUACUGCGACGAAGGGGUUGAAACACCAGCCGCUUCCUCUCUGAUGAUUUCCGUCACGGUAUUGGAGGAGAAUCUCGAUUCAGCAGCCUCGCAGUAUCCUGUCCGCAGCGCCAGUUAAGUGUACGUAUUGCAGAGCGUACGUAGAUUCGCAGCUUGGAAACCCGACAGAGACUGACUCGUUACCAGUGCAAGAGCCUUUUUAAAAGGUCUCGAGAAGCCAAAGCGAUCGAUACGGCAUGCAGAAGGCGAUCGAUAAC